rnacentral:rRNA from 1 species
AAUACAUCGGAACGUGCCCGAUCGUGGGGGAUAACGGAGCGAAAGCUUUGCUAAUACCGCAUACGAUCUACGGAUGAAAGCAGGGGACCCUCGGGCCUUGCGCGAACGGAGCGGCCGAUGGCAGAUUAGGUAGUUGGUGGGAUAAAAGCUUACCAAGCCGACGAUCUGUAGCUGGUCUGAGAGGACGACCAGCCACACUGGGUCUGAGACACGGCCCAGACUCCUACGGGAGGCAGCAGUGGGGAAUUUUGGACAAUGGGCGAAAGCCUGAUCCAGCAAUGCCGCGUGCAGGAUGAAGGCCUUCGGGUUGUAAACUGCUUUUGUACGGAACGAAAAGUCUCGGGAUAAUACCCUGGGACCAUGACGGUACCGUAAGAAUAAGCACCGGCUAACUACGUGCCAGCAGCCGCGGUAAUACGUAGGGUGCAAGCGUUAAUCGGAAUUACUGGGCGUAAAGCGUGCGCAGGCGGUUAUAUAAGACAGAUGUGAAAUCCCCGGGCUCAACCUGGGAACUGCAUUUGUGACUGUAUAGCUAGAGUACGGUAGAGGGGGGGAUGGAAUUCCGCGUGUAGCAGUGAAAUGCGUAGAUAUGCGGAGG